rnacentral:hammerhead_ribozyme from 1 species
CUACAGGUGACGAGUCCCAAACAGGCCGAAAUGCUCAUCCUGUAU